rnacentral:rRNA from 1 species
AACGUAGGAGACAAACGUUAUCCGGAGUUACUGGGCGUAAAGGGCGCGUAGGCGGCCUUCUAAGUCAGACGUGAAAUCCCUCGGCUCAACCGGGGAACUGCGUCUGAUACUGGAAGGCUUGAGGAUGGGAGAGGGAUGUAGAAUUCCAGGUGUAGCGGUGAAAUGCGUAGAUAUCUGGAGGAAUACCGGUGGCGAAGGCGGCAUCCUGGACCAUUACUGACGCUGAGGCGCGAAAGCUAGGGGAGCAAACGGGG